AUUCUCAACCUAACAAGUUCUUAACGGGACUUGCUUAGGCUUGGACUUGGAGGCUUGUCGGCUGCUUAGCAGUCGGCUCCUCUCAAAUGCAUUAGCUUGGUUCCUUGCGGAUCGGCUCACGGUGUGAUAAUUAUCUGCGCCGCGACCGUUGAAGCGUUUAAUGGCCAGCUUCUAAUCGUCUCUUGCGAGACAGCUUUCAUCGAA
rnacentral:misc_RNA from 1 species